GAAGGUAUAGCUCAGUGGUAGAGUGUGUGCUUAGCAUGCACAAGUUCUUAAGUUCAAUCCCCAGUACCUAUA
rnacentral:tRNA from 1 species